rnacentral:rRNA from 1 species
GACAGAGGCCUCAAGCGUUGUCCGGAAUUAUUGGGCGUAAAGCGCGCGCAGGCGGUCCUUUAAGUCUGAUGUGAAAGCCCACGGCUCAACCGUGGAGGGUCAUUGGAAACUGGGGGACUUGAGUACAGAAGAGAAGAGUGGAAUUCCACGUGUAGCGGUGAAAUGCGUAGAGAUGUGGAGGAACACCAGUGGCGAAGGCGACUCUUUGGUCUGUAACUGACGCUGAGGCGCGAAAGCGUGGGGAGCAAACAGG